UGUGUUUCAAUAAAAUAUAUUUAUGGACAAUAAAAUUUGAAUUGCAUAUAAAUUUUCACAUGCCACAAAAUAUUAUUCAUUUUAUUCAAACU